rnacentral:rRNA from 1 species
CAGUCGCCGCGGUAAUACGGAGGGUGCAAGCGUUAAUCGGAAUUACUGGGCGUAAAGCGUGCGUAGGCGGUUCGUUAAGUCUGUUGUGAAAGCCCCGGGCUCAACCUGGGAAUGGCAAUGGAUACCGGCGAGCUAGAGUGUGUCAGAGGAUGGUGGAAUUCCCGGUGUAGCGGUGAAAUGCGUAGAGAUCGGGAGGAACAUCAGUGGCGAAGGCGGCCAUCUGGGACAACACUGACGCUGAGGCACGAAAGCGCGGGGAGCAAACAGGAUUAGAGACCCGCGUAGUCCCUGUCUCUUAUAA